GACGAACGCUGGCGGCGUGCUUAACACAUGCAAGUCGAACGGAAAGGCCCUGCUUUUGUGGGGUGCUCGAGUGGCGAACGGGUGAGUAACACGUGAGUAACCUGCCCUUGACUUUGGGAUAACUUCAGGAAACUGGGGCUAAUACCGGAUAGGAGCUCCUUCUGCAUGGUGGGGGUUGGAAAGUUUCGGCGGUUGGGGAUGGACUCGCGGCUUAUCAGCUUGUUGGUGGGGUAGUGGCUUACCAAGGCUUUGACGGGUAGCCGGCCUGAGAGGGUGACCGGCCACAUUGGGACUGAGAUACGGCCCAGACUCCUACGGGAGGCAGCAGUGGGGAAUAUUGCACAAUGGGCGGAAGCCUGAUGCAGCAACGCCGCGUGCGGGAUGACGGCCUUCGGGUUGUAAACCGCUUUCGCCUGUGACGAAGAGUGAGUGACGGUAAUGGGUAAAGAAGCACCGGCUAACUACGUG
rnacentral:rRNA from 1 species